ACUCAAAGGAAUAGACGGGGGCCCGCACAAGCGGUGGAGCAUGUGGUUCAAUUCGACGCAACGCGAAGAACCUUACCUGGGCUCGAACGGCCAUGGACCGGUGGUAGAAAUAUCGCCUUUCCCGCAAGGGACUGUGGUCGAGGUGCUGCAUGGCUGUCGUCAGCUCGUGUCGUGAGAUGUUGGGUUAAGUCCCGCAACGAGCGCAACCCUUGUCCUGUGUUGCAAACCGAAAGGUGCACUCUCAGGAGACCGCCAGCGAUAAGUUGGAGGAAGGUGGGGAUGACGUCAAGUCAUCAUGGCCUUUAUGUCCAGGGCUACACACGUGCUACAAUGGUCGGUACAAAGCGCUGCAAACCCGCGAGGGGGAGCUAAUCGCAAAAAGCCGAUCUCAGUUCGGAUUGCAGGCUGCAACUCGCCUGCAUGAAGCUGGAAUCGCUAGUAAUGGCGUAUCAGAACGACGCCGUGAAUACGUUCCCGGGCCUUGUACACACCGCCCGU
rnacentral:rRNA from 1 species